AGCGAACGCUGGCGGCAGGCCUAACACAUGCAAGUCGAACGAACCCUUCGGGGUUAGUGGCGGACGGGUGAGUAACACGUGGGAACGUGCCUUUAGGUUCGGAAUAACCCAGGGAAACUUGUGCUAAUACCGAAUGUGCCCUUCGGGGGAAAGAUUUAUCGCCGUUAGAGCGGCCCGCGUCUGAUUAGCUAGUUGGUGAGGUAAUUGCUAACCAAGGCUACGAUCAGUAGCUGGUCUGAGAGGAUGACCAGCCACAUUGGGACUGAGACACGGCCCAAACUCCUACGGGAGGCAGCAGUGGGGAAUCUUGCGCAAUGGGCGAAAGCCUGACGCAGCCAUGCCGCGUGGAUGAUGAAGGUCUUAGGAUUGUAAAAUCCUUUCGCCGGUGAAGAUAAUGACUGUAGCCGGAGAAGAAGCCCCGGCUAACUUCGUGCCAGCCGCCGCCGUAACAC
rnacentral:rRNA from 1 species